ACAAUGAUGCCGGGGAAGAAAUUAUCGGAAAUAAAACAUCCAUUCGAGACUGUGUAUUUAAAAAUGGUAAACAUUUGGUCGAAAUCAUAUUCAUAAUGCCAAAUAGUCUUUGAUAACGCUUAUUCCCUUUUGAAAUUUUGACUGAAGAAGUAGGAGUUCUGCGCAUGCGCAUUAUUCGAAACAUAAAGGUCAUCUACCACUCUACGCUGAGGAAAAGGGAUAAGCAUUUAAACAGAGCCACAUCACUGAAUGGAAUUACACACCAAGCCAUUCCACUGUACUUCCUGUGUGUUUGACUUUUUCAGAACCUGCACAGACAAGUCUGAUGAGUUUGGAGAUGUUGCCGUGGCCCUCCUCACAGACAGUGAUACAAAUUUCAGUACCAACCUGUGAAAAUCUCAUGUCAUCAUGGAAAUAUGACUCAAGUUGUUAGGUCUAAAUACAACACUAUUACAAAAGAGACUAAUAAAUAUUAUGUUAAUUGUACUUAAUAGUGGCUCUCUGUGUACUUUCAGGUUCUAUGAACUUCAUGCCAUGGGAACUGUAAUUGAGUAACUUUUUUAUUUUUUAUUAGCAGUAAUU